rnacentral:ncRNA from 1 species
AUGUAGGCUCGGUUGAAGCUUCUAUUGCAAAUUUUGAUGGCAGCAUCAAAUAUUCAAGUGAGAUCCUUGAAAAUCAGAGGUAAAGAAGGGUUCUCUAUAAACAGCAGUUAAAUUCCAAGAUACUGGCUAAUACCAGCUAAUACCAUUUAAUAAAAUAGAGGAAUGGAGAUGUAACCCAUCUGAUAAGUCGAAAGGGAAAGUAUAGGAUUGCAAAGAUAUAUGCUCAUCAUGAGAAUUUAGCCCGAUAAUGAAAUGAACUCGGACACAUUGAGGAAAGUCCGAGCCGCGGUUCUCUUUUCUGAUUAAGGGACGGACUCCCUGGAAUCGGUUCAGCCGGAGAUAGGGACGUUGUUUCCGUAAAGCGCCACGGUUCUUGUAGUGCCUCGUGUGCUUUGUUCAAUCCAUGAAAAUCAUGCCAGAUGGUACCCAUAUCCGCAGCAGAUCUGCGAAAUGAAUAGGCUCUAGUC